CCAGACCUCCCCUCAUCUCUCCCACACUUGGUACAAUUCCUCAGGACCUUGACUAUAAAAUGGAUCCAGACAGGUGUAGCCUGGUUUGUCACUUCCUGGUUCUGAAGCUCUGGAUGAGCAGGUGCAGUGGAGGACAGGUCAGUUUGAUAUCUGACUUCACUGUGUUUCCUUGACUCUGAAGCCAAACCUCCUCCACCCGCUGAUCAACUCCACCUGCACACGUUCUUAUUCAGGUGGAUUCAAAUGAAAGAAGAGAAACGUACUCACCUCAGCCUCUGUAAUCAGACUCAUCACCUCAGACGUCUGGUUGUUGAAUGUGUCGUGGAAAAUCACCUGAACGUUCUCCGACCCUGAGCUAAGUAAAUCAGAUUCAUUUCAUCCUGCAGCUUCUCCAUUUGACCAAACUCAGACCUGUUGUCGUCAGAAUCACAGUGAACUGAACCGAGUAAAAACAAGAUGGAGUCGACCUGUUCUGCAGCUGAGAUCAGAGGAACAAACCUGAUCAGUAACAUCAGUGGUUUGAAGUGAGAACAGAACGUUAACAUUCACAUCUGAAGUUUCUUCUUCAUUUCACUGAGGAAAGUCUGGAGGAAGGAAAGAAGCUGGUUUUCUACACUGAUGACUUUAUUCUGUUUAACAGUGAAAUGAAUAGAAUAGAAUAGAAUAAAACUUUAUUGAUCCUUGACAGGAAAUUGCUUCAUUGAUCAACCAUCAGCAAAUAUAAAUGAAGCUGAAAUUAAAAGGGAGACGUGAAAUCAAGAAGAAAGAAAAACAAAGAAGAAAAAGAGAAACAAGAGCCACACAGAACAUUACAGAACAUACAGAACAUACAGAACAUUACAGAACAUUACUGAACAUACAGAACAUUACUGAACAUUACUGAACAUACAGAACAUACAGAACAUUACAGAACAUACAGAACAUUACUGAACAUUACAGAACAUACAGAACAUACAGAACAUUACAGAACAUACAGAACAUUACUGAACAUACAGAACAUACAGAACAUUACAGAACA